rnacentral:lncRNA from 1 species
UAUUCAUAAAUGAAUGAAAAAGUUGAAUGAAUGGUCCUUAAAAGAGUUCGAUUUGGAAUGGGAAGAAUGUGUCCAUUUCGAAUGGCUGGUGAUUUCUGGUGUUGUGGUCCAAUUUGCUGCCUGCCCCCUUUCCUCCAAUCUCCCCAAAUUCUUCAUUCUCUUCUUCUUGUACUUCUCUCAAAGCUAAUAUUAGUUGUUGUGCCCAGCUCCGAGCUGAAAUAAUCCUGAAAAUUAUAAGAGGAGGAGAGCAACUAGAAGCAAAGACAGAAAGUGUUUUCUGUGGAAAAGAAAAAGAAUUAGAGAUCAAAUGAAAUGAAAAGAUAAUAAUCGGAUGUCAAUAUUUAUAGACAGAAGAUGAAAGAUUUAUAGAAGAUCACAAUGACAUAAUCAAACUGAUGUGAUAUUGAAUAUAUCAGGUCAAUUUAAUAUAUCAGAUCAAUUCAAAUAUUUAAAAUGUCAUUGAUUUUAUGUUGAUAAUUUCUAAUAAUAAAAGAAAAAGACAACAAUGUCCUUUUAACCAAUAAAUGCUCGUGACAACUAGCAAUAGCAAGUAUCCACCGCCCCAUUUUUUUCUUCUUUUCAAGCAAUUAGAUGAAUGAGUAACGAAUGUCUGAAGAUGGAGUAAGGUUGAAACUGAGAUCUGAGAGUGACUUAUAUCCAUCUCUAAUUCUUAUGUCUAGAUUUGUUUUCUGGUGCCGACGUCUGCGGCACCUAAACCUGUUUUAGUACGAGCAAUUGACGUGUGAUUUGUGUAUAAAUUCACAUUCGAGAAAACAACUGCGUAACAAACUAAACAUUCCAAAAGAAUU